GGGACUUUAUAAUCCAACGCCUGCAGUUUAUAGAGACCCAGCCUUGUUAAGUGAACAGAGGCACAGUUAACCAGGGCACGCCCUGAGAAGGGACAGGGUUGGGGCUACAGCCUUGGUAUUGGGAAGGUUCAGUUCUUCACCCUAUAUUGAACUUUCUUAUGAGGUCAAGAUGUGUAGAUGAAGGUUCUGGUCUGAGAUCUUAAAAAGGGAGAAGUCUAAUAUCACCCACACAUUCCUGUCUUCUUUCCUUCAACUGUGCCCUCAUACUGGCUCCUUGAUCUGAGUUAUAUCUAUCCUAUUCAAGUAGGAGCCUCUGAAACUCUCUCUCAAUCCCUGGACAAGAUCUAAACAUGUGCCACUCCAGAGGCUGUAGAAGUAGCUUGUAGAAAUAUGGACUAUGGAGCAAAAUGGGACUGGAAAGGUCAUCCAAUCUCACCACCUACUGGAUGUUCAGAUCUGUUCCACAGUAUCUCUGCAAUGGAUCAUUGACCCUAUAGAGAAGGAAAAAGGAAGCAUGGCUCCAGAAGAACAAAGAAGACACAAUGGCAAUAAAUUUUUGAAGCUAGAAAUUAGACACAAAAGUGGUAACUCACUUGGCAGCUCAUGGAAAGCACACAUAGGAAGCAAGAUUGAAAGCCUGGAUAGUGUCCUUGAAAUAGCUAAUUCAUCAUGCAGAACCUGAGAUUUUGGAAACAUCAGGUGAUGAUCAAUGUGCAGAUAUGGGAAGGUCCAAAACAAGGAGAAUUGGUUGAAGCAGUUAGAUCUCUAGAUGCCCUCUUCACCCCACAUAGACAAUCAACUACCUGAGCAUUAAUAUAAAACAGGAGAUUUAUUUUCCGGAGGGGAUGAAGCAAAGGGACUCUGAACUGGGAACACCAAGUUGAAAGUGUGAAUCCUAUACUGAAAACAGGAUUAAGUGAUGAAGUGAUGCUCUUCCUGCUAAUGAUGAAAAUGCUAGAACCAGUUUUGGCCAAACAGGUUUAUAAUCCUCUUUUUUUUUUUUCAGAUGGAGUCUCGCUCUGUCACCCAGGCUGGAGUGCAGUGGUGCGAUCUUGGCUUACUGCUCCGCCUCCCGGGUUCGCGCCAUUCUCCUGCCUCAGCCUCUGAAGUAGCUGGGACUACAAGUGCCCACCACAAUGCCUGGCUAACUUUUGUAUUUUUAGUAGAGAUGGGGUUUCACCAUGUUAGCCAGGACGGUCUCGAUCUCCUGACCUCGUGAUCUGCCCG
rnacentral:lncRNA from 10 species